rnacentral:rRNA from 1 species
GACGAACGCUGGCGGCGUGCUUAACACAUGCAAGUCGAACGGAAAGGCCCUGCUUUUGUGGGGUGCUCGAGUGGCGAACGGGUGAGUAACACGUGAGUAACCUGCCCUUGACUUUGGGAUAACUUCAGGAAACUGGGGCUAAUACCGGAUAGGAGCUCCUGCUGCAUGGUGGGGGUUGGAAAGUUUCGGCGGUUGGGGAUGGACUCGCGGCUUAUCAGCUUGUUGGUGGGGUAGUGGCUUACCAAGGCUUUGACGGGUAGCCGGCCUGAGAGGGUGACCGGCGACAUUGGGACUGAGAGACGGACCAGUCUCCUACGGGAGGCAGCAGUGGGGAAUAUUGCACAAUGGGCGGAAGCCUGAUGCGGCAACGCCGCGUGCGGGAUGACGGCCUUCGGGUUGUAAACCGCUUUCGCCUGUGACGAAGCGUGAGUGACGGUAAUGGGUAAAGAAGCACCGGCUAACUACGUG